AUGGAAGAGAUGGAGGCGGGAAAACAAAACCUUAGAAAACAUGAUGGUUGUAUAACCCCAGAAAUGUCAAGGAUUUGGUAUGAGUGUCACAGGCGGCCAAGCAAAUCUGCUACUUAUCAACACACACACGCAUGCACAGUACAUAUUGUCAACCAAAGUAACAACAAAUCAGAGACAUGUGCCUCACGUUGUCCCCACAGUUCAAUGGAAUGGAUUGUAUCUAAUCAUGACAUCCAAUCAGUGGUUUCAUCAUCACAAAGAACUCACGAACAUGUACAACAAUGGAGCAGGUACCUUUGUCUGCUUGGAGCUCCUUGUGUGGGUCAUGUUGUGGAUGCCCUCCAUGGAAGGAAGGACCUGCUGCUGCUGCUCCAGCCCGAAUCAAAUCAAGGUGGUUAG
rnacentral:rRNA from 1 species